rnacentral:rRNA from 1 species
GGACUUCGGUCUGGUGGCGAGUGGCGAACGGGUGAGUAAUGUAUCGGAACGUACCUUUCAGUGGGGGAUAACGUAGCGAAAGUUACGCUAAUACCGCAUAUUCUGUGAGCAGGAAAGCAGGGGAUCGCAAGACCUUGCGCUGAUUGAGCGGCCGAUAUCAGAUUAGCUAGUUGGUGAGGUAAAGGCUCACCAAGGCGACGAUCUGUAGCGGGUCUGAGAGGAUGAUCCGCCACACUGGAACUGAGACACGGUCCAGACUCCUACGGGAGGCAGCAGUGGGGAAUUUUGGACAAUGGGGGCAACCCUGAUCCAGCCAUGCCGCGUGAGUGAAGAAGGCCUUCGGGUUGUAAAGCUCUUUCGGCCGGGAAGAAAUCGCAUGGGUUAAUACCCUGUGCGGAUGACGGUACCGGCAUAAGAAGCACCGGCUAACUACGUGCCAGCAGCCGCGGUAAUACGUAGGGUGCGAGCGUUAAUCGGAAUUACUGGGCGUAAAGCGUGCGCAGGCGGUUUUUUAAGACAGGCGUGAAAUCCCCGGGCUCAACCUGGGAACUGCGCUUGUGACUGGAAGGCUAGAGUAUGGCAGAGGGGGGUGGAAUUCCACGUGUAGCAGUGAAAUGCGUAGAGAUGUGGAGGAACACCAAUGGCGAAGGCAGCCCCCUGGGCCAAUACUGACGCUCAUGCACGAAAGCGUGGGUAGCAAACAGGAUUAGAUACCCUGGUAGUCCACGCCCUAAACGAUGUCAACUAGGUGUUGGGUGGGUAAAACCAUUUAGUACCGGAGCUAACGCGUGAAGUUGACCGCCUGGGGAGUACGGCCGCAAGGUUAAAACUCAAAGGAAUUGACGGGGACCCGCACAAGCGGUGGAUGAUGUGGAUUAAUUCGAUGCAACGCGAAAAACCUUACCUACCCUUGACAUGUCCAGGAGCCUGAAGAGAUUUGGGUGUGCCCGAAAGGGAACUGGAACACAGGUGCUGCAUGGCUGUCGUCAGCUCGUGUCGUGAGAUGUUGGGUUAAGUCCCGCAACGAGCGCAACCCUUGUCGUUAAUUGCCAUCAUUUAGUUGGGCACUUUAACGAGACUGCCGGUGACAAACCGGAGGAAGGUGGGGAUGACGUCAAGUCCUCAUGGCCCUUAUGGGUAGGGCUUCACACGUCAUACAAUGGUCGGUACAAAGGGUUGCCAAGCCGCGAGGUGGAGCCAAUCCCAGAAAGCCGAUCGUAGUCCGGAUCGCAGGCUGCAACUCGCCUGCGUGAAGUCGGAAUCGCUAGUAAUCGUGGAUCAGCAUGUCACGGUGAAUACGUUCCCGGGUCUUGUACACACCGCCCGUCACACCAUGGGAGCGGGUUCCGCCAGAAGUAGGUAGCCUAACCGCAA